UUGUAUGAACACGGAGAGCUACUAUCUUCCAUGCAAACUGUCAGCAAGCCCUGUCCUAAAAGCUUGAGUUGACCAAUGUCAGAUGGAUGAUAUCAAGUAGUGUCUUUCAGUCUCUGGAAAUACCACCAGCCAGGAAGUUCUGUAUUGCAGGUUGGUUGCCCAUGCUGCCAUUGAAGAACAAGAGUGAAAAGCCAUACGAGGGAAGAGUUAGGCAUCUAUAGGUGAAGUUCCAUUGCACUCUUGCAUUAGACAGCAAACAUAUACUGCUGUAUAUACAUAAACGGUAGGACCUACAUAAGUGGUAUGUCCAGUCCUGCAUCUGCAAGGGUGUUCACAUAUCAGCCAAUGUUAAAAACCCAUCCUUUGAGACAGACAGCCAACUCAAGUCUCUGAAGAUAGCAGGUACAAAUUAAGGACUGCAGCAAGUGAUGAAUAUUGAAUAUCUUUGGCAGAGUGUUACCACAGGGAACCAACAGGGAAGGUUACUGUAAGUGGAGAAGAGUAACUUGUAGAGUUGAUCUGAAAUGUAUCUUUUGAUGUGAAACAAUAUAUCUGCAAACUUUCUCC